UUGAUCCUGGCUCAGAAUCAACGCUGGCGGCGUGCCUAACACAUGCAAGUCGAGCGCGAAAGGGGGAGCAAUCCCCCAAGUAGAGCGGCGAACGGGUGAUUAACGCGUGGGUAAUCUACCUUCGAGUGGGGAAUAACAGCGGGAAACUGUUGCUAAUACCGCAUGACAUCGUCCGGGCCUUCGGGUCUGACGAUCAAAGUCGGGGACCGCAAGGCCUGGCGCUUGAAGACGAGCCCGCGUCCGAUUAGCUAGUUGGCGGGGUAAUGGCCCACCAAGGCUCCGAUCGGUAGCCGGCCUGAUAGGGCGGACGGCCACACUGGGACUGAGACACGGCCCAGACUCCUACGGGUGGCAGCAGUGGGGAAUUUUUCGCAAUGGGGGAAACCCUGACGAAGCAACUCCGCGUGGAGGAUGAAGGCCUUCGGGUCGUAAACUCCUGUCGACCGGGAUGAACGCUAUUGGACCCAAUACGUCCGAUAGUCGACUGUACCGGUGGAGGUAGCCACGGCUAACUCUGUGCCAGCAGCCGCGGUAAUAAGGU
rnacentral:rRNA from 1 species